rnacentral:rRNA from 1 species
GAGUUUGAUCAUGGCUCAGGAUGAACGCUGGCGGCGUGCUUAACACAUGCAAGUCGAACGGAGUUAGAGGGAGGAAGUUUUCGGAUGGAAUCACUUUAACUAGUGGCGGACGGGUGAGUAACGCGUGGGUAACCUGCCUCACACUGGGGGGAUAACAGAUAGAAAUAUCUGCUAAAACCGCAUAAGCGCACGAGGUCGCAUGACCAUGUGUGAAAAACUCCGGUGGUGUGAGAUGGACCCGCGUCUGAUUAGGCAGUUGGCGGGUAGAGGCCCACCAAACCGACGAUCAGUAGCCGGCCUGAGAGGGUGAACGGCCAC